rnacentral:rRNA from 1 species
UACAGAGACUGCGAGCGUUAUUCGGAUUCACUGGGCGUAUAGGGUGCGCAGGCGGCCAAGUGUGUUAGGCGUGAAAGCCCGGGGCUUAACCUCGGAAUUGCACCUAAAACUACUUGGCUAGAGCAUUGGAGAGGGUAGCGGAAUUCACGGUGUAGCAGUGAAAUGCGUAGAUAUCGUGAGGAACACCAGAGGCGAAGGCGGCUACCUGGACAAUUGCUGACGCUCAGGCACGAAAGCGUGGGGAGCAAAAGGG